GGCCAGGUAGUUUAGUUGGUCAGAGCGUUGUUCCGAUACACCAAGGUUCUGGGUUCGAUCCCCAGUCAGGGCA
rfam:Myotis lucifugus cont2.9051, whole genome shotgun sequence.